rnacentral:rRNA from 1 species
AGUGAGGAAUAUUGGACAAUGGGCGCACAGCCUGAUCCAGCCAUGCCGCGUGCAGGAAGACGGUCCUAUGGAUUGUAAACUGCUUUUGUACGGGAAGAAACACUCCUUCGUGUAGGAGCUUGACGGUACCGUAAGAAUAAGGAUCGGCUAACUCCGUGCCAGCAGCCGCGGUAAUACGGAGGAUCCAAGCGUUAUCCGGAAUCAUUGGGUUUAAAGGGUCCGUAGGCGGUUUAGUAAGUCAGUGGUGAAAUCCCAUCGCUCAACGAUGGAACGGCCAUUGAUACUGCUAGACUUGAAUUAUAAGGAAGUAACUAGAAUAUGUAGUGUAGCGGUGAAAUGCUUAGAUAUUACAUGGAAUACCAAUUGCGAAGGCAGGUUACUACUUAUGGAUUGACGCUGAUGGACGAAAGCGUGGGGAGCGAACAGGAUUAGAUACCCUGGUAG